rnacentral:rRNA from 1 species
AUUGAACGCUGGCGGCAGGCUUAACACAUGCAAGUCGAGCGGGGGAAGAUAGCUUGCUACCGGACCUAGCGGCGGACGGGUGAGUAAUGCUUAGGAAUCUGCCUAUUAGUGGGGGACAACAUCUCGAAAGGGAUGCUAAUACCGCAUACGUCCUACGGGAGAAAGCAGGGGAUCUUCGGACCUUGCGCUAAUAGAUGAGCAUAAGUCGGAUUAGCUAGUUGGUGGGGUAAAGGCCUACCAAGGCGACGAUCUGUAGCGGGUCUGAGAGGAUGAUCCGCCACACUGGGACUGAGACACGGCCCAGACUCCUACGGGAGGCAGCAGUGGGGAAUAUUGGACAAUGGGGGGAACCCUGGUCCAGCCAUGCCGCGUGUGUGAAGAAGGCCUUAUGGUUGUAAAGCACUUUAAGCGAGGAGGAGGCUACUUUAGUUAAUACCCAGAGAUAGUGGACGUUACUCGCAGAAUAAGCACCGGCUAACUCUGUGCCAGCCGCCGCCGUAA